AAAGGCGAAAAGAACCCCGGCGAGGGGAGUGAAAAAGAACCUGAAACCGUGUACGUACAAGCAGUGGGAGCACAGGUUUACCUGUGUGACUGCGUACCUUUUGUAUAAUGGGUCAGCGACUUAUAUUCUGUAGCAAGGUUAACCGAAUAGGGGAGCCGGAGGGAAACCGAGUCUUAAUUGGGCGUUAAGUUGCAGGGUAUAGACCCGAAACCCGGUGAUCUAGCCAUGGGCAGGUUGAAGGUUGGGUAACACUAACUGGAGGACCGAACCGACUAAUGUUGAAAAAUUAGCGGAUGACCUGUGGCUGGGGGUGAAAGGCCAAUCAAACCGGGAGAUAGCUGGUUCUCCCCGAAAGCUAUUUAGGUAGCGCCUCGUGAAUUCAUCUCCGGGGGUAGAGCACUGUUUCGGCUAGGGGGCCAUCCCGGCUUACCAACCCGAUGCAAACUGCGAAUACCGGAGAAUGUUAUCACGGGAGACACACGGCGGGUGCUAACGUCCGUCGUGAAGAGGGAAACAACCCAGACCGCCAGCUAAGGUCCCAAAGUCAUGGUUAAGUGGGAAACGAUGUGGGAAGGCCCAGACAGCCAGGAUGUUGGCUUAGAAGCAGCCAUCAUUUAAAGAAAGCGUAAUAGCUCACUGGUCGAGUCGGCCUGCGCGGAAGAUGUAACGGGGCUAAACCAUG
rnacentral:rRNA from 1 species